rnacentral:rRNA from 1 species
UACGUAGGGCGCAAGCGUGUCCGGAAUUAUUGGGCGUAAAGAGCUCGUAGGCGGCUUGUCACGUCGGGUGUGAAAGCCCGGGGCUUAACCCCGGGUCUGCAUUCGAUACGGGCUAGCUAGAGUGUGGUAGGGGAGAUCGGAAUUCCUGGUGGUAGCGGUGAAAUGCGCAGAUAUCAGGAGGAACACCGGUGGCGAAGGCGGAUCUCUGGGCCAUUACUGACGCUGAGGAGCGAAAGCGUGGGGAGCGAACAGG